rnacentral:rRNA from 1 species
UUAAGCAUAUCAAUAAGCGGAGGAAAAGAAACCAACAGGGAUUGCCCUAGUAACGGCGAGUGAAGCGGCAACAGCUCAAAUUUGAAAUCUGGCUCUCUUUGGGAGUCCGAGUUGUAAUUUGCAGAGGAUGCUUUGGCAUUGGCGGCGGUCUAAGUUCCUUGGAACAGGACAUCACAGAGGGUGAGAAUCCCGUACGUGGUCGCCUGCCUUUGCCGUGUAAAGCUCCUUCGACGAGUCGAGUUGUUUGGGAAUGCAGCUCUAAAUGGGAGGUAAAUUUCUUCUAAAGCUAAAUACUGGCCAGAGACCGAUAGCGCACAAGUAGAGUGAUCGAAAGAUGAAAAGUACUUUGGAAAGAGAGUCAAAAAGCACGUGAAAUUGUUGAAAGGGAAGCGCUUGCAGCCAGACUUGCCCGCAGUUGCUCACCUAGGCUUUUGCCUGGGGCACUCUUCUGCGGGCAGGCCAGCAUCAGUUUGGGCGGUUGGAUAAAGGCCUCUGUCACGUAUCUCCCUUCGGGGUGACCUUAUAGGGGAGGCGUAAUGCAACCAGCCCGGACUGAGGUCCGCGCAUCUGCUAGGAUGCUGGCGUAAUGGCUGUAAGCGGCCCGUCUUGAAACACGGACCAAGGAGUCUAACAUCUAUGCGAGUGUUUGGGUGUCAAGCCCGGGCGCGCAAUGAAAGUGAACGGAGGUGGGAACCCUUUGGGUGCACCAUCGACCGAUCCUGAUGUCUUCGGAUGGAUUUGAGUAAGAGCAUAGCUGUUGGGACCCGAAAGAUGGUGAACUAUGCUUGAAUAGGGUGAAGCCAGAGGAAACUCUGGUGGAGGCUCGCAGCGGUUCUGACGUGCAAAUCGAUCGUCAAAUUUGGGCAUAGGGGCGAAAGACUAAUCGAACCAUCUAGUA